UAUUUUUAUUCGACACUAAAAAUCCAGAGUUUUAUAAACAUGUAUGUGAGUUUUAGAUUAAAAGAAAACGCAAAGUACGUAGUGUGAACACAUUUAUGAAUAUAGUGUGAACGCGUUAACAUACUUAUUAUCAAAUCAUUGUGAAGCUGUCACGUGUCUAUUAUAGUGUGAAUGCAUUUAUCACGGUGUUUCUCAUAUAUAAGGGAUUUUAGUUUGGUAUAUGGGAAUGUCCGGUACAAAUCGGUUUACCACAUUGGAUUAUAAAAAAAAAUGGACGAGGAUUCACAAAGCAUAUACUAUUGUAUGAUAGAUUUCUUAUGACCUUUUUAGACCAUAUAAGCAUAUACUAUUGCAUGAAAGACCAUUAAAACUGUAUCUAUCAAAGCUGAAGGAGAUAUACAGAGACCAAGUAAACAUUACCCAAAGCUAUUGGGCUUAGAAAACAGUCAACCCAAUAGAGAAUGUAAAACUAGGCUCAAUAAAAAGCCCAAUGGAUUUAUCAGCACCAACUGGCGACGUCUCCGUCUGACCGUCCUCCUGUAAUAAGAUCACCGGAGACGCCGUAGAACAGUCAGAACCACGAGAUAGAGGACAUUAUGGCUUGUGAGACGGAAUCGGAAGCUGGCCUGCUCCCAUGUUUGCCAGCUAGAGAGCUACCACUAUCCUCAUCCUUGUUAUCAAAGUCAGUCCAUCUUCUACUCUCGAUCUUGACCUCGAACGAUCUCCCUUCAUGGUUGGCCUUUGAUCAUUUCAAGUUUUAGUGUGAAAGGCAUUGCCUUGGCUUCUUGUUUGGUGAUUGAUUGAUAGUAAUGGAAGUUGUGAGUUUUCUGCUGAAGAAUAUGUCAUUUUAGAUACGCUCACUUGCUUAACUUAUCAAUGUUAUCAUCUUUAGUGAUCAUAACACAACGCAUUGAUCCUAUCGAUGAUCAUCGAGGUUGCCUGCUGAUCAAUGAUGAUGCACUGUGAUAUUUAUAUCCUCUCGUUGAACACUGUAGUUGAUGUUGAGCGUCACGCCAGAGAUUUCAUGGAAGUUGCAGCUUUAUUUUAUUGGAUUGAAGCGAGAAGAUCACGAUCCCGCAAGUGCUGAAAGUCUCAGGAAGUAAUGGAGGACAAGCUUAACACCAAGGAGGAGCUCACAAAGAAGCACACAAGGUUUAUCCAAGAAUCACAUAUUCAAGUGAAAGAACAGAUUGAGAAACAGAGUGGAGGAGCUGGAAUAAGUAUAAACAUCAAGCAAAGUCUCAAUAGUAAAUAAACGUAACUCAACUACUUAUUUAUUUCUUAUUAUACAUUGCAAGAGUAAUGCAGAGAAAGAGGGAUUCCAUAUGCAAAUCCACAUCCCUUACAACAAGUGCAGAUGCACUUAGUUAUUUCUUGUGUGGCUUUUCUCAGAGUCUUAUACAUUCAUUUACAUAGAAACAUAGAAGAAGCUUCCUACAGAUAAG